rnacentral:rRNA from 1 species
GAUGAACGCUGGCGGCGUGCCUAAUACAUGCCAGUCGAGCGAACAGACGAGGAGCUUGCUCCUCUGACGUUAGCGGCGGACGGGUGAGUAACACGUGGAUAACCUACCUAUAAGACUGGGAUAACUUCGGGAAACCGGAGCUAAUACCGGAUAAUAUAUUGAACCGCAUGGUUCAAUAGUGAAAGACGGUUUUGCUGUCACUUAUAGAUGGAUCCGCGCCGCAUUAGCUAGUUGGUAAGGUAACGGCUUACCAAGGCAACGAUGCGUAGCCGACAUGAGAGGGUGAUCGGCCAAACUGGAAAUGAGACACGGUCCAGACUCCUACGGGAGGAAGCAGUAGGGAAUCUUCCGCAAUGGGCGAAAGACUGACGGAGCAACGCCGCGUGAGUGAUGAAGGUCUUCGGAUCGUAAAACUCUGUUAUUAGGGAAGAACAAAUGUGUAAGUAACUAUGCACGUCUUGACGGUACCUAAUCAGAAAGCCACGGCUAACUACGUG